UACGUAGGGACCAAGCGUUGUUCGGAUUUACUGGGCGUAAAGGGCGCGUAGGCGGCGUGUUAAGUCACUUGUGAAAUCUCUAAGCUUAACUUAGAACGGUCAAGUGAUACUGAUGUGCUAGAGUGCAGAAGGGGCAACCGGAAUUCUUGGUGUAGCGGUGAAAUGCGUAGAUAUCAAGAGGAACACCUGAGGUGAAGACGGGUUGCUGGGCUGACACUGACGCUGAGGCGCGAAAGCUAGGGGAGCAAACAGG
rnacentral:rRNA from 1 species